GCAUUAAGCCACUACAAUCAAACGCACACCUCCAUCGAGUCAUCCAUAAGAAAAACCGCCCCUCGCACGCACGAUACCCACUCGCCCAUAUGCCACCGCCCUCGCUCGCCCAUACGCCACCGCCCUCGCUCGCCCACCCCCUACACGGCCGGCCGCCGCCGCCGCCUCACACCACCGCUCCUCCGCUCGGCCGCUGCCCCACAGAUGCGAUCGCCGUUGCCGUCCGCGGCUCCUCCGCUAGGUUGCUGCCGCAUGGAUGCGGUCGCCGCCCGUCGUUCGGCUGAUGUGUGAUGUCCAGUCACCGCCUCAUUUGCUAUGGCGAGCCGCCGCCGACCUCCUCGGCCGAACACCAUGGCCAUGGACCAAGCUCUGCCAGACCUUCUCUCGCGACUUCCGGCCUUCCUCUCGACCAGAUCGACGACGGGACGCCCAGAUCCGAGUCAUCUGACACGACGCCGUUCGUUUCCGGCUUGCCUAGCCGCACUGAGCAUCCGAACCACCUCCCCAGACAGCGCCGCCAUCGUCGCCAAGGCGGCGCCGGUCUCGGCCACGGCGCAGGAGGUGUCGUCAUCACCGUCCUUGUCAUCAUCUGGCUGGGCCGUCGACGAUCUCCUGCAGUUCUCCCUACGGGCACCGUCGACGGCACUGAUGGUCUAUCACAAAUCAAUCAGGGAUAAGAAAAGCGAGGUGCAACUCAAGCGAAUAAACAGUAGAAGAAUGAAGAAGUAAGCAGGGGGUGGAUGUAGAUCCUCCAAGGGACCAUCAAGGUAAGGCAUUAAACUGAAUUUGUGGCACUACUGAAUAUAUGAACUGGCUUGUUAGGACCAACUUAUCUGAAACUAAUGUGUGAAAAGCUGGACAGGGCGAAAUAAUUUGUAAGUAUACUACAAAACUGUACGGAAAAUCUUAUGGCAAUUUUCCUAUUGAUGCUUCAAGGUACUGGUUGUGCCCACCUGUUGUGGGAUUGCUUCUACCUAAACCAUGUGGAUUACUCUUCGUACAAUUUUCUUGCAGUCAGUGUACUUGUGAAAUGCAUGCAGCAACAAGGUCUGCCAACCAUUGUCAUUGUUGCAAGAUUACUUUUCUGAAAGUUGUAAAGAGAACGAGAGAUAGAACUAAGUAAGUUGCUCUAGCUCUCACCAAGCUAUGUCAUUGACCAGGUCACUAAGCUUUGCUAUUCGGGUGCAUAUGACACUAAUUAUUCAGUGGGUUGGGCACAACAUGGCGCUCAGCAGCCCAUAGGAAACAAAUGGUUCUCUAAGUUGAGAUGGUGUUGUGAUUAAUUGUUGGCUUGUUGCCAUCAGAUUUACUUACAUGAAGAAAUGCAUGGUACAGAUGGUGUUACUUGCUGUUCUAGGUGUGGUGAUCUCAACAUUUUUGCUUGGCGCUCCUAUAAAGCUUACUUUUCCGUAUGACUGGAACUGGAAAACAUCAUUCUUGUUCGGCGGACGCUCAGUGCAACCGAUCAUGUUACUAUGAUUGCUCUUCUAAAAGACCUAGGCGCAAGCAAAAAGCUCAGUACGAUAAUCGAAGGAGAAUCCUUAAUGAACGAUAGUGUUGCUCUGGGCCUUGCAUUUGGAAUCGCAUCUCUACUAUGGCUGGGCUUUAUUUUCGAUGGUACAAUCAUACAGAUUUCACUAACACUCGCAGUCAGAUAUAUGGCUUUCUUCACUGUAAGAUAAUCAGAUAACGGGCAUAUCAAGGCUCUUAUAUUUCUAUUUUUAUCUCUAGAAGGACAUGAUUUGCUCAGUGUUUGGAAAUGGUUUUUAGCUCGAGUAAUAGAAUGGUUGUCAAGCAACCCUUUUUGCAACAUUGGGAUGCUGUUUUAAUGGCUUGUGAUGGCAAUCCAGGGUCAUUUCUGGAUGCAUUCAUGUGUGCCAAUGAGGUUUCCAUGUACUGAUGAUGUAAUACUAGAUUUUUUAUCUUGUCAAUUUCUUACCCUGGCAGUACGACUAUGUACUCAGACUGCUAGAAAAGUGUAUUUUCUUUUUA